GCUCUUGUGGUGUAAUGGUUAGCACUCUGGACUUUGAAUCCAGCGAUCCGGGUUCAAAUCCCGGUAGGAGCU
rnacentral:tRNA from 1 species